GCACAGAGUUAGCCGGUGCUUCUUCAUUGAGUAACGUCAGCCUACCGGGGUAUUAGCCCGGCAUAUUUCGUUCCCACCGAAAGUGCUUUACAACCCGCAGGCCUUCUUCACACACGCGGCGUCGCUGGAUCAGGGUUUCCCCCAUUGUCCAAUAUUCCCCA
rnacentral:rRNA from 1 species